rnacentral:rRNA from 1 species
UACGAAGGGGGCUAGCGUUGCUCGGAAUCACUGGGCGUAAAGGGUGCGUAGGCGGGUCUUUUAAGUCAGGGGUGAAAUCCUGGAGCUCAACUCCAGAACUGCCUUUGAUACUGAAGAUCUUGAGUCCGGGAGAGGUGAGUGGAACUGCGAGUGUAGAGGUGAAAUUCGUAGAUAUUCGCAAGAACACCAGUGGCGAAGGCGGCUCACUGGCCCGGUACUGACGCUGAGGCACGAAAGCGUGGGGAGCAACAGG